GUGACAUGCACUGCUUGUUUCUGGAAUUUUUACUUGUGGCAGGGAGAAUAAUUGGCUCAGUCGAUACCUGUCAGGCCUCUGUUCAGCAGUAAACAAGGCUUGAUUUCCAUACGCUCUCAAAACAAUGUAACAGAAGAAAUAACACACUGAAAUAGCAGCACAGGGCUUGUGGUAGUGUAAUUUGUGCUGGAAAGAACAGCAAUUACGCUUAGAUUAAUCUGGGAUAGUAUUUACCCAGGAAAUAUGUUUGGCUGUUUUUACAAAACCGGGCACUGAGAAAACAUUAUUUCAUUGUAUCUGAGCUCUAGCUGUUUUGAAUACCACUUUUCAGAGUGUGGCAGGGCAGUUGUUGCUUGUUAUGGUCUGUGAUGGCAGAGAGAUGGACAAGACCUGGUCUGUGUGUGUUAGCCAGAUUGCCUGCAGCGGUGGGAUGUGACUGCUUGUCACUUUGGGCUUGCAUCACCUCUGGCCACGGUCAUAAUAAAUCUUUAGGAAAUGCAUUGCAACACUCUAGAAGCAAUAUGUGUUCUAUCAUAUGCAAAGGAGAUAGAUGCAUAUCGGGGGUGGCGAUGGAGACUAAAUGCAUGAUUUUGCUGAAGAUAUAACUGAUGUGGAUUGUUUUGAAACAAACUGAAUGUAAUUUUUUUUUAGUAUUUUGGACAGUAAAAAAGCAAAAUAAGGGCUGCUGUUCUCCGUGACACUGGACCAUGGCAAUAACACUUGGUAAAUUCUCCUUUUUUUUGUACACUUGGGCAAAAUUAAGUACCUCCACAAAUAUUUAGAGACGCUUCUGAUAAAACAAUUUCUGUAACAUUUGCCUGUUUCUUUACCUGAAACUAUGCAGUAGGCUGAGGACCAGCAAUAAAGUGCUGCUGAGCAGGCUGAAAAUGCAGCUUGAUGAGGGGUAUGUGUAAGAUCUCCAGAUGGAUGAAGAAAAAAGCAAUCAAAGUGUUCGGGUUCCUAGAGCAAUAGCAGAAUUUGUAAAAUCUACAAUUGUGAUGAAGUUAUUUCAAUUUAAUUUCUAGAAAUCAUAAAACAGGCUUUCUUGGAACCUGAUCAUCUGCAUGGGAACUGUUGCUUCUUUGAAAAAAGUGUCUUCCUUCAGCUCGCUCAUGACAGCAAUUAACUUGCAGUCUAGCAAAAGCUGAAAAACUGAUAGUGAGAUAACAAGCUGUGUUGUGAUAGCGAGUCUCUGCAGAAGGAACUUCCAUGUAGUAUUAGCAGUUGUGAUGGAGCAGUUAUUUUUCAGACUACUUUGAUCCCUAAAGUGGUUAAGUACCUUGGAGAAAGGAGGAUAACAAUAGGUGGUAGGAGUGAGAAACCAGCACAAAGCCCAGGGGAGCAAAUUGUUAAAGCUGUAGUGAAAGUGCAACAUUUUGAAGCAGUGCUUCUGCAAAGUGAGUGGACUGCAGCUAUGCAGGAGAUGACAAAAGUCAGCACUGAGUCCUUGCAGAUGUUAUUUCCCAUGUUGGGUGGAGAAUUCAAAACCUGAGAACUAAUAGUUCAAAAUGGUGUUAAAUUUACGUGCCUUGCUUGUGCUAUGUUGCCACAACAGUAAUGAAUGCUAAAUGUGCUUCCUGUGUUUUAGCAGUCUGUUUUACUAUUUCAAGCAGAAUGUUUUUGUUUUGAGAUGUAUCUCCUGAUAUUCUCUUGCUAUUUUAUUCACAACUGACAUUUAAAUUGUCACUGAAGUAUUUUCACGAGUGGAAAUACACUCAGGGCAGUGAAGAGGCUGUCCUGAGGUCAGCUCUUCUGCAUUAAUCUAAAUCUUUUUGAGUGGAGACAAGCAACCUGAAAAAUUAAAGACAAGGGGUGGACAAAAUUUUUGUGUCAGUUUAGAGGAAAUCUGAAUUCAGUAGAUCUAACAGGCAUGCACCCACCAGUUUCUACACAUGAUUUAGUGAAAGCAUAUCUUGUGUGUGCAGCUGUCAGUGACUUGCAGUGGAAAUGGAAGAGCUCUGUUUAUUGAUAAGGGGGAACAUCUGGUCCACUUCUGAUCUAAUGACCAUUGCACUAAGGUAGCUGUGUCUUUGUCAGAUUGGUUCUGACUCUCAGUUUGUAGGCCAUUAGACCUGUUGAGUGAAAGGGUGGGGUUUUGUUUGCUCUUUUCUAACCUUAUUGUGAGAGCUGAGAUAAGGCUUUUAGACUGUUGGUGCUUCGGUUCACUUCCUCAGUUUUAAAUCCUGGGAAAAUUUAAUUCUUAUUUCUGGGCAUGUAUUUGAGCAAGAAAUAAGGGUCAGACCACUUAUAGAAGUCCCUAGGGGCAGCAUAGGCAAUCGCUGUACAAGCAGUGCUUGCCUGUGACUGGUGCCUGGCAGUGAGGGAGCCCUGGGAGAGGAUUAACUGGAGCCAGUGCUGCUGGUCCUGAUAACUUUGUGGGCUCUGGUUGCUCACUGUGGAGCAGAGGCAGACAGGCAGGCUGCAGGUGAUAGAUGAGGCCAUUACUGAUAUGGCACCGCCUUUGAAGUGCUUACCUGCGUGGGUACAGCAUGUUUGUCCUCUACCUUCAAGAACCUAUCAUCUCACCUAUGAAGCAGGAACAAAGAAUCUCUCUCCUGCCUUACUGUACCUGGAUGGACUGGCACAGUCAGUGACAAGCUUCUAGGGCGCGGUCUGGGUUUGUAAGCCCUUAUGCUGCACCUCUGUCCUCCUUUUUUCUGCUGGUUCCUGCUCAUGCUGGGUCACCUCAGCUGGAGAAAUAGCCAAGUGCAUUGUGGUCUGUGAAUUCUUUUGCAGGCAGCUGAACUGCCCUCCCUGGAGAGCUGGGAACAUGCCAGGAGCUGACCUGUCUCUGCUGCUAGAGUGCGGAGAGAAUUAAACAGCAUUUUAGACUUUGAUAGAGGACGGACUCUGCAGCAGACUGACAGCAUGGGAACUAGCAGGGGACAGUGAAUUGUCAAAAGAGCCCUGAAGUCCAGAUGUUGGGACUGAGUGUCUCUAUGGUGCAGUCUUUCUCAAGAUUUACCCAGUGCUUAAGUGAUGUUUUUGCUUCUGGCUUGGCUUAGGCAAGUGUUUCUGUCCUCCUGAGUCUCAUAGUUCAGAUAUUGAGGCUCAUGCAACUCUUGUCUGUGUUACUCAGUUACUCAGGCUCAGUUUUCUCUGCAGAGCAUCUCUUUCUUGCUACAGCAUUCCUACUUGUCACCUUUCCUGUUCUUUGACCUACAUCUAACCACAUUUUCUUCUGCCUUCAGUGUGAGUUUUCUGGUGGGGUGCUUUCUGAUGUUAAACUCCCAAUGAUCUGAACACCAAAUCAGUUUGCUAGCUGUUUCCUCUCAAAGAGAUUAUCACUCUGGGCCUUUUUUAGGAGGUGGAAGGAGCUUUUUCCUUCUCUCUCCCCUCUCCUGCUCCUAUUUUUGUCUCCCUCCAUUCUCAAAGCCAAGAGCAGCUGCUUAUUUAUCAACAUCCAGGCAGAAGGCAUUUAUUACAAGCGCACCUGAAAUUGCAUUUGUGUUCUCAGACUGUCAUGUGAAUCAGAUUUUUGACGCUUGAAAGACCAAAAACAGUGAUAGGUAACAGGGAGUUAUCUCAGUUGGUGAUCAUUUAAAUGGCAAGUAGUGUUUUGAAAUUCUCUUUUGGAAUAAUGACAGUGACCAAAACUAGGUUUCAACUAGCUUGCAAUUUGGUGAAGCAUCAAUUACUCCUGUCAGUACUCUGGCUUCUUCAGUCUCUUGGAUACCCUGUAGCCACAGUAAGCCGAGUACUUUUUCCUGUUUCCUUGAGAGAACUAAGACAUCUCGAACAGCUUAGUUAGAGUGACUAGCUACUGUUUGCAGAGUAGAGCAUCUAAACUGACAGCCACAGGAGUGAUAGAGCCAUAGGUAAACUCAGCAUGUGCAAACAGAGGAGGGGUGGACAAUCCUGAAUCCAGACUCCCUGUUGUCACUGCAGUGAGUUCAGUCUGUGCUCUGUCUCUUCCCCCUGACAGCCUCUAGUCUUUCCUGCUCUUCUGCUCUGCAACACCUCGUGCUUCAUCCACAAACAUUUAUGGGUGGAGUUGUGGCUGUAGGUGAUGUGAUGUCUAAAUAUAAUGAAACAUGCCUCUGGGGCUCAGCAGAUGUGUCGUCUUGCUGUAGACAGUAACAUUUUUCUGUGCCGUUCACAGCUGAGCUGCUUAUUUUGCUAGCCUGGCAAUAUUAAAAUAUUUUUUCAUUAUUGCUUUUAUAUUUUGUUUGUGUUAAGUUUAAUAGGUAGGUAAGGAAACUUAAUCCGUAUUGCAAAAAUUUUAGCUACUUUAUUAAAGACUGUUAGUGUAUAUUGCUAAUAAAAAAGCAAACAUUUAAAGUAAUUCUAGUGAAAUGAACAGAGCAAAUGUGUCAAAAUACAUGGAAUUCAACUCCCAACAUUAAGAAAGCCAUGGACAUAUGAAACUGACAGAGGAACCUUUCACUUUUUAAUAGUUGGUUCCUCAUGAAUUUACCACUGGAGAAGGAAAGCCUGUCGGAAAUUCCUGCUGGAAUAUGUUAUAUUAUUUCAAAUGCCUUGAGCCCCCAGUGAGAAUCUUAACUGCUUUUUUUUUUUUUUUUUUUUUUUUUUUUUUUUUUUUUUU